rnacentral:rRNA from 2 species
UACGUAGGGGGCAAGCGUUGUCCGGAUUCAUUGGGCGUAAAGAGCUCGUAGGCGGCUUGGCAAGUCGGGUGUGAAAACUUCAGGCUCAACCUGGAGCGGCCACUCGAUACUGCCAUGGCUUGAGUCCGGUAGGGGACCACGGAAUUCCUGGUGUAGCGGUGAAAUGCGCAGAUAUCAGGAGGAACACCGGUGGCGAAGGCGGUGGUCUGGGCCGGAACUGACGCUGAGGAGCGAAAGCGUGGGGAGCGAACAGG